rnacentral:rRNA from 1 species
UACGUAGGGGGCAAGCGUUGUCCGGAUUUAUUGGGCGUAAAGAGCGUGUAGGCGGCUAGAUAGGUCCGUUGUGAAAACUCGAGGCUCAACCUCGAGACGUCGAUGGAAACCAUCUGGCUAGAGUGCGGAAGAGGAGAGUGGAAUUCCUGGUGUAGCGGUGAAAUGCGCAGAUAUCAGGAAGAACACCCGUGGCGAAGGCGGCUCUCUGGUACGUGACUGACGCUGAGACGCGAAAGCGUGGGGAGCAAACAGG